AGUACAUCAGGAGAUGUGGAGGAGGCCGUAGGAGGGCAACAACCCAGCAGCAGGACCGCUACCUCUGCCUUUGUACAAGGAGGAACAGGAAGAGCACUGCCAGAGACCUGCAAAAUGACCUCCAGCAGGCCACAAAUGUGCCUGUGUCUGCUCAAACGGUCAGAAACAGACUCCAUCAGGGUGGUAUGAGGGCCUGACAUCCACAGGUGGGGGUUGUGCUUACAACCCAACAACAUGCAGGACGUUUGGCAAAUUCGCCAUUGGGGCCCUGUGCUCUUCACAGAUGAAAGCAGG